rnacentral:rRNA from 1 species
CUUGGCGACCAUAGCGUUUUGGACCCACCUGAUUUCCAUGCCGAACUCAGAAGUGAAACGAAAUAG